rnacentral:rRNA from 1 species
AACGAACGCUGGCGGCAUGCCUAACACAUGCAAGUCGAACGAGACCUUCGGGUCUAGUGGCGCACGGGUGCGUAACGCGUGGGAACCUGCCCUUAGGUUCGGAAUAACUCCCCGAAAGGGGUGCUAAUACCGGAUAAUGUCUUCGGACCAAAGAUUUAUCGCCUUUGGAUGGGCCCGCGUUGGAUUAGCUAGUUGGUAGGGUAAAAGCCUACCAAGGCGACGAUCCAUAGCUGGUCUGAGAGGAUGAUCAGCCACACUGGGACUGAGACACGGCCCAGACUGCUACGGGAGGCAGCAGUGGGGAAUAUUGGACAAGGGGCGAAAGCCUGAUCAAGCAAUGCCGCGUGAGUGAUGAAGGCCUUAGGGUUGUAAAGCUCUUUUACCCGGGAUGAUAAUGACAGUACCGGGAGAAUAAGCACCGGCUAACUCGGUG